AAUGCCGGAUGAGUUAUAUAAGUGCAUGUUUAUAUAGGAAAAGUUGGGGAGACCUGACGCUGAAAGAUGGACUCGCGUCCCAUUAGCUAGUUGGUAGGGUAAUGGCCUACCAAGGCGACGAUGGGUAGCCGGCCUGAGAGGGUGGCCGGCCACACUGGGACUGAGACACGGCCCAGACUCCUACGGGAGGCAGCAGUGGGGAAUUUUGCGCAAUGCUCGUAAGAGUGACGCAGCGACGCCGCGUGAAUGACGAAGGCCUUCGGGUCGUAAAGUUCUUUCGACAGGGAAGAAAAUGCCUAUAAGUAACUGUGUAUGUAUUGACGGUACCUGUAUAAGCAGCCCCGGCUAACUCCGUGCCAGCAGCCGCGGUAAUACGGAGGGGGCGAGCGUUGUUCGGAGUGACUGGGCGUAAAGAGCACGUAAGCGGUGUUGUAAGUCAUUAGUCAAAGACUAGAGCUCAACUUUAGUAAGGCUAGUGAUACUAUAAUACUAGAGUAUCAGAGAGGAUUGCAGAAUUCCUGGUGUAGCGGUGAAAUGCGUAGAUAUCAGGAGGAAUACCGUUAGCGAAGGCGGCAAUCUGGCUGGAAACUGACGCUGAGGUGCGAAAGCGUGGGUAGCAAACAGGAUUAGAUAUCCUGGUAGUCCACGCUGUAAACGAUGGAUGCUAGGUGUUGGGCUUUUAAGUUCAGUGCCGCAGC
rnacentral:rRNA from 1 species